GACAGAGGCCUCGAGCGUUAGGCGGAAUCACUGGGCUUAAAGCGUGUGUAGGCGGACGCCUAAGUACCUUGUGAAAUCCCACGGCUCACCCGUGGAACCGCUGGGUAUACUGGGCGUCUUGGGCCAUUCAGGGGCGACUGGAACAAGCGGUGGAGCGGUGAAAUGCGUAGAUAUCGCUUGGAACGCCGACGGUGAAAACAGGUCGCUGGGAAUGUGCCGACGCUGAGACACGAAAGCCAGGGGAGCAAACGGGG
rnacentral:rRNA from 1 species